UACGUAGGCAGCAAGCGUUGUUCGGAGUUACUGGGCGUAAAGGAUGUGUAGGCGGUUCUUUAAGUUUGGUGUGAAAUCUCCCGGCUCAACUGGGAGGGUGCGCCGAAUACUGAGGGACUAGAGUACGGGAGAGGAAAGUGGAAUUCCUGGUGUAGCGGUGAAAUGCGUAGAUAUCAGGAGGAACACCGGUGGUGUAGACGGCUUUCUGGACCGACACUGACGCUGAGACACGAAAGCGUGGGUAGCAAACAGG
rnacentral:rRNA from 1 species